CUUUUAAACUUUGCUUCACAUUUCGUGGGUGAAAUGGCUACGUAACACAGGGGUUCCAUCUUUGCAUUUGGAAGCAGGAUAAAACCUUGGACCACCUCAUAUCCCUAUUUACCUCCCUGUUUUGGCUGCCAAGGAGGCAAGCUUGGAAAGGAGAGAUGGAGAAAACUCUUGGCAAGGCCUAGCUUAACCUAGUGGUUAGAGCACUGUGUUGAGAAAAGAUGGUGCAGGUUCAAACUAUUUCUGGGUAAGCAGAACCUAGGACCCAUGUCUGCUGCUUCCUGGGCAAGUGGGCGCACCAAUUAAUGCCCUGCUGGUAAGCAGGGGCAAACAGUCCUCAGGCUUGCUCUCUGUCAUAGCUGUAUCACAGUCAGAAGCUGAGAAACCAAAGGUGUGACCUGCUGUGGUCUGCAUGUCAGGCCCAGUACUGCUCCAAUGACAGUGCUACUAGUGAUGCCCUUGUGUGCUGGGACUGAUGCACCCAGGAAAUCUUCCCUUCUGACAGCUGGAAACAUUCAUUGCUUCCAACUAAACAGUUGAAAGCUGUUGAAAAUAUUGGAGGGG